rnacentral:lncRNA from 1 species
GUUAGGGCUCAACUGGGUAGUCUAAUGUUGUUCCGGUUUUGGUUCUUGUGAACGUUGACAUCGAUUCGUUCCAAAUUUACACUCUCGGGGCAUAAUAGAACAAUAUAAUUAGGUUUUACUCUUUUUUCAAUUAAAUGAGAAAAAGUUCUAGUUGCAAAGUUAUACUGUUAGGGCUCAAUUGAGUAGUCUAACGUUGUUCCGGUUUUGGUUCUUGUGAACGUUGACCUCGAUUCGUUCCAAAUUUACACUCUCGGGGCAUAAUAGAACAAUAUAAUUAGGUUUUACUCUUUAUUCGAUUGAAUGAGAAAAAGUACUCGUUGCAAAGUUAUACUGUUAUGGCGCAACAGAGUAGUCUAAUGUUGUUCCGGUUUUUGUUCUUGUGAGUGUUGACAUAGAUUCGUUCCAAAUUUAUACUCUCGGGGCAUAAUAAAACAAUAUAA